rnacentral:rRNA from 1 species
UUGGAGGGCAAGUCUGGUGCCAGCAGCCGCGGUAAUUCCAGCUCCAAUAGCGUAUAUUAAAGUUGUUGCAGUUAAAAAGCUCGUAGUUGAAUUUCGGAAUUUUUUUAUCGGUUGAAUCAACAGGUUCGUACUGAUUUUAAGAAUUUCUACCUUCUGGAGAACCUUAAUGUCAUUUAUUUGAUGUUUUGGGAAACCAGGACUGUUACCUUGAAAAAAUUAGAGUGUUUAAAGCAGGCUUAUGUCUGAAUAUAUUAGCAUGGAAUAAUGAAAUAGGACGGCAUGGUUCUAUUUUGUUGGUUUCUAGGAUCACCGUAAUGAUUAAUAGGGAUAGUUGGGGGCAUUAGUAUUCAAUUGUCAGAGGUGAAAUUCUUGGAUUUAUUGAAGACUAACUUCUGCGAAAACAUUUGCCAAGGAUGUUUUCACUAAUCAAGAACGAAAGUUAGGGGAUCGAAGACGAUCAGAUACCGUCGUAGUCUUAACCAUAAACUAUGCCGACUAGGAAUCGGACGAAGUUAAUUUUUUAAUGACUCGUUCGGCGCCUUACGGGAAAC